AACCAAAACUUCUAGUCAGGAUGUUUUCUGUUCCAAGAGAACGACCAGUUUACGAAGAUGUCUGUUACUGUUUUGGGAGAUUGAUACUACUCACAGUCCUUCCUUUGCUCCCGUUCUGGGUGCAAUGGGACAACUAGGCUGGCCUUCUUCGUUUUGAGGAUUGUUGAGCUUUGUUGUGAGUAAUGAGGCGUUCGAGAAGUAUUGGGCGCAGAAGAAUACAAGAAAACUUUUCUUGUAUAACAGGUUUCUGCGUUCGCUUGCUUUUCGAUGCCUCACAGCA
rnacentral:snoRNA from 1 species